CUAACAGAUUAAAUGGAGUGGUAGGAACCAGGAAGGAGCAGGGACAACCGUCGGUGAAGAGGUGGAACAAGUGAACAGCUACCUCUCUCGUUGUGCCCUUACGACAAAAUAUAUGUCGAAAGCAGCCCGGUUGGACAUGCUCACAUUGCAUGCAAUGUUGUGGAACCACAGGAAAUGGGAUUCCUUACAUCAGGCACUUUCCACAAGAUACGAGAAGACUUGUCUGAGGCUCCUGGAUGAGACUGCAAAGCUAGCAGAGCUACAUUGUUCAGAUGAAAUGGUGUCACAGUGGAUUUCAGAUGUGAAGGAAUGGGCAGCUGGUGAGACAUGAGAUACAUCUGACAACCUGCAAGGCACCACACACACAGGGCUUCAGCGGUCCAUUGAGGGGCUCUACCUCAGUGUGAGGCAGCGGAAGCAGAACCUGUACUGUCAGAAUGACAGCAACAAGCUUUGCCACCGGCUUCGGAGGAAGCUGGCAGAAGACAAAAAGCUCCUUCUUCAGGAGAUACAAAAGCACAACAAGCUUGACUCUGCAGCAAACAUCGAUGCAGCUGUGGUGGAGCACUCCCUGAGUGGAGCACUGUGUCCCCAAUAAGGCCUUGGGAGGUUCAUGAAAGUGCAAACAUUGGAAAAAAGAAACUGCUUCAUGACCAAGUGAUGACAACAAAGCGACUGCAGGGGAAAAAAAAAAUGAUGGUGAUGGAGAUGGCACAACACUGCACAUGGUUGCAGAACAUGGCAUUGAUUCUCAAAAACAAGGUGGCUGAGGAGGGUGGAGAGUCUGGAGACAAAGGAAAUGAAGGACUUUGCAGUCUCUUGAGGAGAAGAAACUCAGAGGUUGAAAGUGGUCCUCCAACAAUACAAGACUGCUUCAGGUCCUGAGGCUUCUGUUAUUCUAAAUAUUGAAGAGGAAGAUCAAAGUGUCCACAGCAGUCCAGACACCAGUGAGGAUGAAGAGGAAAACAUAACUUAGAUUGAAGCUGCACUGAGGAU